rnacentral:rRNA from 1 species
ACGGGAGGCAGCAGUGGGGAAUAUUGGACAAUGGGGGAAACCCUGAUCCAGCGACGCCGCGUGAGUGAAGAAGUAUUUCGGUAUGUAAAGCUCUAUCAGCAAGGAAGAAAAUGACGGUACCUGAGUAAGAAGCCCCGGCUAACUACGUGCCAGCAGCCGCGGUAAUACGUAGGGGGCAAGCGUUAUCCGGAUUUACUGGGUGUAAAGGGAGCGCAGACGGUUAAGCAAGUCUGAAGUGAAAGCCUGGGGCUCAACCCCGGAACUGCUUUGGAAACUGUUUGACUUGAGUGCUGGAGAGGUAAGCGGAAUUCCUAGUGUAGCGGUGAAAUGCGUAGAUAUUAGGAAGAACACCGGUGGCGAAGGCGGCUUACUGGACAGUAACUGACGUUGAGGCUCGAAAGCGUGGGGAGCAAACAGGAUUAGAUACCCUGGUA